rnacentral:rRNA from 1 species
CACGUAGGCGGGAACUUAAGUCAGGUGUGAAAGACCGUGGCUCAACCACGGGUAUGCACUUGAAACUGGGUUUCUUGAGGGCAGGAGAGGAAAGCAGAAUUCCUGGUGUAGCGGUGAAAUGCGUAGAAAUCAGGAGGAAUACCAGUGGCGAAGGCGGCUUUCUGGACUGACCCUGACGCUGAGGUGCGAAAGCGUGGGUAGCAAACA